UGGGAGACCGAUAGCGAACAAGUACUGUGAAGGAAAGAUGAAAAGAACUUUGAAAAGAGAGUUAAAGAGUGCCUGAAAUUGCUGAAAGGGAAGCGAAUGGAACCAGCGUAACUUGGCGAGAUUGCUGCGUGUCAAUGUGAUUGCUUGCUGCUUCAACGUAAGUGUUGUAGUAAGUCUUGAACAGGACAUGCGCGGUGCUUCUUGCCUUGUGUGUCACCGUCAGUUCGCAACUGGGGAAAACUUCAGGGACAUGGUAGCCUGUCUCCGGGUGGGUGAAUGUGCUUGCUGGAACUCAUCUGUGGUCUGGCUGUUGACUAAAUGGUUCCAUCCGACCCGUCUUGAAACACGGACCAAGGAGUCUAACAUAUGUGCGAGUACAGGGGUGGCAAACCCCCGUGCGCAAUGAAAGUGACAGAGGUUGGACUGGUGUUAGAAGCCAGGCACAAUCCGCCGGCCACAAUCCCUCGGGAGCAAGGUCUGAGUGUGAGCAUGUGUGAUAAGACCCGAAAGGUGGCGAACUAUGCCUGAAUAGGGUGAAGCCAGGGGAAACUCUGGUGGAGGCUCAUAGCGGUUGUGACGUGCAAAUCCAUCGUAAAAUUUGGGUAUAGGGGCGAAAGACUAAUCGAACCA
rnacentral:rRNA from 1 species